UUUUUUUGCAAGUUGACUUUUUUGACUUUUGAAGCCAAAGGGAGGUCGAAACUGCGGUGAUUGGACAACAUAGUUAAUUAAUGAUUGAGUAAUCAUCUUAGCUGCCUUCAUUCUAUUUAGGUUUUUCCUGCUCUGUGCUGACGAUAAAGCCCUCCUUUACAGAUUUGUACUGUGGAUUAAAAUGUCAUGCCACGCGGUUUCG
rnacentral:lncRNA from 1 species